rnacentral:rRNA from 1 species
UGGGGAAUAUUGCACAAUGGGCGCAAGCCUGAUGCAGCCAUGCCGCGUGUGUGAAGAAGGCCUUCGGGUUGUAAAGCACUUUCAGCGGGGAGGAAGGCGAUAAGGUUAAUAACCUUGUCGAUUGACGUUACCCGCAGAAGAAGCACCGGCUAACUCCGUGCCAGCAGCCGCGGUAAUACGGAGGGUGCAAGCGUUAAUCGGAAUUACUGGGCGUAAAGCGCACGCAGGCGGUCUGUCAAGUCGGAUGUGAAAUCCCCGGGCUCAACCUGGGAACUGCAUUCGAAACUGGCAGGCUAGAGUCUUGUAGAGGGGGGUAGAAUUCCAGGUGUAGCGGUGAAAUGCGUAGAGAUCUGGAGGAAUACCGGUGGCGAAGGCGGCCACCUGGACAAAGACUGACGCUCAGGUGCGAAAGCGUGGGGAGCAAACAGG